rnacentral:rRNA from 1 species
UACGGGGGGAGCAAGCGUUGUUCGGAUUUACUGGGCGUAAAGGGCGCGUAGGCGGUCAGCACAAGUCAAUUGUGAAAUCUCCGAGCUUAACUCGGAAAGGUCAACUGAAACUGUGCGACUAGAGUGCGGAAGGGGCAACUGGAAUUCUUGGUGUAGCGGUGAAAUGCGUAGAUAUCGAGAGGAACACCUGCGGCGAAGGCGGGUUGCUGGGCUGAUACUGACGCUGAGGCGCGAAAGCCAGGGGAGCGAACGGG